CUAGACGCCUCCGACCCCCUUCACGAUAAAGGUUCUCUCUCUCUCUCUCUCUUCGGCACGGCUGCACGGGCCCUCUAUUCUCAGUCGCCGGUGACAUUGUUGAUUUGCUACCUCGCUGUCGAAGGCUCGAACUCUUCACUCUUGGUUUGCUCUCUUCGACUCUUCCUCAAGUUGUGAUUCUGUGAAGCUCGGUGACUCAAGCUUGGAGAAAUUUGUGUUCGAUUUCUGGGUUCAAGUUCGGUGAUUCUUCAAGCUCAAUUUCUGGGAGGAUGCUGUGAAACAACUACAAAGUCUGCAGAAAGAAAUUCAGGAUUCAAUGAAUGAGCUUGAGGAGAUGAGACCUCUGUAUGAGAAUCAAGUCAUGAGGGAAAAGGAG